rnacentral:rRNA from 1 species
CAGUAGCCGCGGUAAUACGUAGGUGGCAAGCGUUGUCCGGAAUUAUUGGGCGUAAAGGGCUCGCAGGCGGUUUCUUAAGUCUGAUGUGAAAGCCCCCGGCUCAACCGGGGAGGGUCAUUGGAAACUGGGAAACUUGAGUGCAGAAGAGGAGAGUGGAAUUCCACGUGUAGCGGUGAAAUGCGUAGAGAUGUGGAGGAACACCAGUGGCGAAGGCGACUCUCUGGUCUGUAACUGACGCUGAGGAGCGAAAGCGUGGGGAACGAACAGGAUUAGAUACCCGGGUAGUCCCUGUCUCUUAUAC